GGAUUAGGCAUGCAAGUCGAACGAGGAUAUAUCCUUCGGGAUAUAAGCCGAGUGGCACAAGGGUGAGCAAUGCAUAGAUUACCUACCUUUAGGAUAAGGACAACUUUGUGAAAACGGAGCUAAUACUUAAUAAUACAAAAGAAAAUAAUUUUCUUUUGUCAAAGGGAGGGUAGCAAUACCUUUCGCCUAGAGAGGGGUUUAUGUCCUAUCAGCUUGUUGGUGGGGUAAUAGCCUACCAAGGCGAAGACGGGUAGCCGGUUUAAGAGGAUGGUCGGCCACACUGGGACUGAGACACUGCCCAGACUUCUACGGAAGGCUGCAGUCGAGAAUCUUUCGCAAUGCCCGAAAGG
rnacentral:rRNA from 1 species